rnacentral:rRNA from 1 species
AUGGCGGCCGCCGCCACCUCCUCCUCCCCGUCCCCGGCCACCUUCCGCGCCGCGUCCCGCCGCGUCGCCGGCCGGCCGCCCUCGCGGGUGGCCGCGUCCGCCGCGGCGACGACGUCCCCGGAGGCGGCGGCGCCCCUCAGGGCCGACCUGGCGCCCCUGGCCCCCGCGCCGCUGAUGCGGGUGGUGCCCGAGUCGCUGCAGGGCGCGAGCGGGGCGCUCGUGGGCGUGCCGGGCCGCGGGGCGGGGGCGGGGGAGGAGGGGGGACUCGACGGGCCCGGCGCCAUGGAGUACCUCACGGCCGUGCUCGCCUCCAAGGUCUACGACGUGGCCGUCGAGACCCCGCUCGAGCGCGCCGCCAAGCUCUCCGACCGCCUCGGGGUCAGCCUCCACAUCAAGCGCGAGGACCUGCAGCCGGUGUUUUCAUUCAAGUUGAGAGGUGCAUAUAAUAUGAUGGCAAAGCUCUCCCGAGAGCAGUUGAACAAUGGUGUUAUCUGCUCCUCUGCUGGAAACCAUGCUCAAGGAGUUGCUCUUUCUGCCCAGAAACUGGGCUGUGAUGCCGUUAUUGUCAUGCCUGUGACAACACCAGAAAUCAAGUGGCGAUCAGUGGAGAGAUUGGGUGCGACAGUAGUUCUGAAGGGAGACUCAUAUGAUGAAGCUCAGUCAUAUGCAAAAUUACGGUGUGAACAGGAAGGCCGCACAUUCAUACCUCCUUUUGACCAUCCCGACAUCAUCGCUGGACAAGGAACUGUUGGCAUGGAAAUUGUUCGUCAACUGCAAGGUCCAUUACAUGCAAUAUUUGUACCUGUGGGAGGUGGUGGAUUAAUUGCUGGCAUUGCUGCCUAUGUGAAACGGGUCCGCCCUGAGGUCAAAAUAAUUGGAGUAGAGCCCUCAGAUGCAAAUGCCAUGGCAUUGUCCUUGUGUCAUGGCCAGAGGGUCGUGUUAGAACAUGUUGGAGGGUUUGCUGAUGGUGUAGCUGUCAAAGUUGUUGGGGAGGAGACAUUUCGCUUGUGUCAAGAACUUGUAGAUGGCAUUGUCCUGGUCAGCAGAGAUGCUAUUUGUGCUUCAAUAAAGGAUAUGUUUGAGGAGAACAGGAAUAUCCUUGAACCUGCUGGGGCCCUUGCCUUGGCAGGGGCUGAAGCUUACUGCAAACACUAUGGUUUGAAAGGGGAAACUGUGGUUGCAAUAAGUAGUGGUGCGAAUAUGAACUUUGAUAGACUUAGAUUAGUAACUGAGCUUGCUGACGUUGGUCGAAAACGAGAGGCGGUAUUAGCUACAUUUUUGCCAGAGGAGCAGGGAAGCUUCAAAAAGUUUGCAGAACUGGUUGGCCGGAUGAAUAUUACUGAAUUCAAAUACAGAUAUGAUUCUAACGGAAAAGAAGCCCUUGUUCUUUACAGUGUUGGCAUCUAUACUGACCAUGAGCUUAAAGCAAUGGUGGAACGCAUGGAAUCAUCAGAACUUAAGACUGUGAACCUUACUGACAAUGAUCUCGCAAAAGACCACCUAAGAUACUUUAUUGGAGGCAGGUCAGAAGUAAAAGAUGAACUUGUUUACCGGUUUAUUUUCCCAGAAAGGCCAGGUGCUCUUAUGAAUUUUUUGGAUACAUUGAGCCCCCGAUGGAACAUCAGCCUUUUCCAUUACCGUGCACAGGGCGAAAGCGGAGCAAACGUAUUAGUUGGCAUACAAGUGCCACCGGAGGACGUCGGUGAAUUCAGGAGUCGUGCCGACAAUCUUGGGUAUGAAUACAUGUCUGAGAUGAACAACGAGAUCUAUCAUCUCCUUUUGCGCAGCCCCAAUAAGGUCUGA